AAUUAUUUUUACCCGACUAUGAGAAUGGGAAGGGUUAUGAUUUUAGCAGUCUACGUAUGGAUGCCGUAUAUAUGCCGGUAUGUUUUUGUUGUGUAUAAAUUACUAAUCAAUUUUGGUGAAUGAGGUGUUUAUAGGUUCAUUUUUAUGGGGUGACAUAGACUACAUAAUAAUAUUUAACUGACUUUGGACAAGGAAGAGGUGCUUUAGUUAAGAAAAAAAUCAUAGUCGGGAUAUCCUGAACGAACUGAAAAUUUUUAAUGAGGCGCAGAAACAAAAAUGGAGUGUUUUGAAGGAGGGGCACGACUUGUUGGCGAAUCGGUUCAUCCUCUGACCUUUCCAAGGAGCAAGAUCUUAUUUUCGUGUAUGAGAGCCUUUGGAAUACAAUAUUAUUAACGCCCGAAUGAGUGCUACCGCGUUUAAUUUCGCCACUAGGGGUGCUAGUGUAGACGGAGGUCUUUCGAAAUGUCAAAUGCAUAGCUUUUUUAUCGUGAAUUUCUACUCCUCAUUCAUAAUUGUGGUAAAUCUUAUUUCAUCUUUGAUUAGUUAGUCACCAAACAAAAGUAACUCAAAUAGCCGGGUCCACACAGAGCGAGCAUACGCGCCAGGCAACUUCCUCACGCACAAAACGGCCAGUGUAGACGUGCCUCGGACGAGGCGGAGCGCGCGUUUUCCUCGCCCUAGUGCGCCGCCUCGGCCGAGGCACGGCUACACUGGCUGGGAUUACCAUCGAAUCGUCUAAUGUCGAUUUUGUUCCUUUGGGUUUGUUGUACCUAGUGACAUGUUUUUUAAACGAUUGCAACGCCAUCUGCGAGUUGCUCGAGAGACUCAACUUACACACAUAUAUGGAUGUGGCUUCAAAAGUAAUCACCGUUAAUAUCUCGUACCUUGAAUAAAGGACCCACUUCUUAAUUAUUAUUAUAAAUUAUAUUUUGGUAUUGUUCCAGUAUUAACACAUUGGAGGACACCGAGAUUAUUGAGAACUUGGAAGACACAGUUAUAAUGGAAGAGGAAGACGUCUGAGCUAAGCGCUGUCCUCGCACCCUCCGUCUAGUUUACGUUUGCGGCCAUGUCAAAAAUACACACCGUAUGUUUAUUAGGGUUCCGUACCAAAAAGGUACAAAAGGAACCCUUAUGGUGCUAUUGCUAAAUAUCUCGAGAAGUACUUAAGCUAUCGAUGUGAAAUUUGGAAUAGUAAUGAAUAACGCUGACCCAAACAUAUUGGAUGUGUAUUUAUUUUAUUUUAUUUGUAAGUAUUAAUAAUGGAAAAUUCCCAAUAUGAAGAGGGGGCAAAAUUGCAAAGUCUAGUUAAAUAGGUCAAGUGGGGUAUCAUUUGAAAGAGCUCAAAUUGAAAAUUACAAAACAAUUUUUUAUUUUCAUUGUGAAAAAAAAAUUUACGUAUGAAGGAAAAUGUGAAAAUAAUACCAUCCCCCCCCCUCUCAUCUCCGAAGUUUAAGAAUAAAAAUUGUUUUUUUUACAUUGGUCAAGUCUUUCAUGAGAAAAUUUGAAGUUUGUACGGAACCCUCGGUGCGCGAGGUAAACGAACUCGCACUUGACCGGUUAUUCUUAUUGCCCAUAAGGCCCGUCCUUAGAUAUAUGUCAAUGAUUACGGUGAUCUCGAAAAUGGCUCAAAUGAUUUCAAUUAAAUUUGCUAUAUGGGGGUUUUCGGGGCGUUUUUGAGUUUUUACCUAUUUGUUUUCCGAGCAAAAGGAAUUAAAGUUUACUGAUUUUAAAAA